UGCGCAAAACGAAUACAAGCCUAAUGUUUACAUCUGACCAAAAAAGUUACUAAAUGUCAAACGCCAACAUAAAAUUUAUUAUUGAGACUACAUCCAAUUGUGUGAUGAUAAUAACUCAACUAAGAAGAGUGAGUUAUGAAACGCUGAUAAUCGAUCGAACAGAACUAGUUCACCUUUCUUCAAUUCCUCGUUAACACGAAAUUGAACUUUUGAAAGACUUGGAAUCAUAAUAAUUAUUGUCGCUGGCACAAUUACUAAUAAAGUAAAAUAAAUUACCUAUCAAAACAGUUGGCACAAUAUUUGUAUAAAAAAAACCAUGAGAUCCUACUAGUGCAGCGUCCCAUUGAAUGGUUGAAAACGUUGGUUGAUGUCCAGUACCAUAGAAAAAAUAUUCAGCAAUCAAAAACCAACAAAAAAUUGCUGAAUUUGGAAUUUGAAGAAGCUCCGCUAUUAUGAAAUAAAAAAUGAUAAUCAUUGCAACUAUUACUGUAAAGUGUUUUGUAAAAUAAAAAACUUACUAAAAUCA